GACUGGUAGUGAGACAUAUUGAGAUCUCCAUUUCAAUAUCACUGAAACUUCUUUCAAUGGACUAAAACAAUUUCAGUUCUACUCUUAGGAUUCACUGAUCACCAAAUGAAUACCUUCGAGUCUCACAAUCCACUAGUGACACCUAGCAGUAUGUGGUGGCAACCCAGCAGAAUGGAAGGCGGGUUGGUGCACCAGCCGGAUCAAGUUGUUAGCGGACAAGUGUCGUGCUAAAGAAGUGGUCGUUAGUGCCGUGAAAGGGAGCUCCGAAAAUCUGAACCUCUAGAUGCAGUUAGCGUAUGAUACAGUCCCUCUAUCAUAAAUUCCGACAGGAUGGAGAUUUUGGAUAACUUGUCAAACCCUUUCGUCCGUCAUAUGUAUAAUUUAUUCGACUUCCAGUUCGAGUUAUGGAAAACUCUUUUUCCAAAAUAUCUGAUCAGGAAUUUAUCGAACUCAGUCUCAUAAAUCACAUAGGAUCACUCCUAAUCUAUCAAGAUUGAUAGAUCCCAUCUAGAUGCAACCCUAUUCCAAAAUGAACCUACUACAGCCAAUCCGCACCACGAGGACCCGAAUGGCUAGGGCCCAAGUUCACAUGCUCGUCAAACUACAGCAACCUCACAGUGAAUAGCUGAAGCAUCGCAGGUUAAAGGACCAGCCAUACAACUGCAGCAUAAGUAGUCACUGACAAGUGGUUAGACAUCCAUGUGACUACUUUCUUUGGUCACGCUCAGUACCUUGUUCUCUAACAAGUACUUGCAUAAU
rnacentral:lncRNA from 1 species